AACCUCAUCUUCUUCGACGAAACCCAACCAACCCGAUUCUCAUUCUCGUUCUCGUCUCGCCGGAAUCUCGUACUCGGCUGGCUGAAAUCUCGUUCACACCAUUCUCGUGACGGUUUCACAUUUUUAUCUCCUCGCUGUAAUUACACUUUUAUGUGUAGAGAAUUAUGUUUACAUUAAUAAAAUGUUUCACAUACUUAUACAUUUAAGAAACAAUUUUAGCUUAAAGAGUUUUAGCCCCCAAGAAGAAACAAGAAUUUGAGUUUAAAGAGUGAUGAUCUUGAGGAACAACUUUUUGAUGAUCUUGAUAUGCAGAAAUAGUUUUCUAAUGGUGGAGGCAAGCCCAUUAGUACAUGUGGCCGCUCAAAUCAAUACGUUAAUAAUGAAAAUCAAUACACUUUUAUGUGUAGAUGUCUCCCAAAUUCUCUACUUUUUUUCUCUGUUCUAACGUGUUUCUCUAUAUCUCUCUCUCCGAUCUUGUUUGAAGUGAAUUUUCCUACUUUGGUUUUUUUUUUCGUUUUUGAUGUGUGGUUCUGUGAGAUUAUUAUAUUAAUACGGAGUUGAUGACGGCUACUACGACGUAGGAUGGAGGAUUAAGCUUCACGGUGGCUUCGGUAAUGGAGGAUGUGUUGCAGCAACAUGGAAAUGGGCUGAGAAAUCAUGAUCUAGACUAGAGUCUCGUCGAGCUGAAGAAGCUGUUCAUGGCGGUUGUUGAGCAUGAUUGUGAUCUUCUUCAAAUGUAUCGUGGAGCUGGUGGGAUCGUGGCUGGAUCGAAUCAUGAAUAACGUGGUGGUAGUGCGAGUGAGUAAGCUAAAGUGAAAGAAGACUGUGUUUGAGAUAAAACUGCAGUCUUUUGAUGAUUAAGCUAAGGAGUUGAGGAGUUUUACUGAUUUGGGUUUGAAAGAAGUUAAAGCAUUGGUGGAGAAGACUCAUGCGAUUUUGAAAGCUAGAUUGUCUAAAGAAGAAGAUGAGAAAAUCGUUGAGAAGUUGAAAGCUCUUGGUGUUAAAGUUAUUUUUGAAUGAAAUCAUCAAUUUGUUUGAUUGAUUAUUGUGAUAUAUACAAGUGAUGUGUGAUGCUUGUAGGGAUGACUAUUAGUUGUGACAUGUUGUAAUAUGAUGCUUGGUACAUUAUCUUGUUUGCGAAUUUAACUUUUAGUA